UAUGUGAUCGUCUCUCGCAUAUCAAUAAGCGGAGGAAAAGAAACUAACAAGGAUUCCCCUAGUAACGGCGAGUGAAGCGGGAAGAGCUCAAAUUUGAAAUCUUAAAGGGUUUCCCUUUACGAAUUGUAGUUUAAAGAAGUGUUUUCUGUUGAGGUUUUGGUAAAAGUUCUUUGGAAUAGGACAUCAUAGAGGGUGAGAAUCCCGUAUUUGACCUUUACUUUCAACUUUGUGAUACACUUUCAAAGAGUCGGAUUGUUUGGGAAUGCAGUCCAAAAUGGGUGGUAAAUUUCAUCUAAAGCUAAAUAUUGGCGAGAGACCGAUAGCGAACAAGUACCGUGAGGGAAAGAUGAAAAGAACUUUGAAAAGAGAGUUAAACAGUACGUGAAAUUGUCAAAAGGGAAGCGUUUGACACCAGUGUUGUUUUUCUGAAAACCAAUUAAAGAACUGUUUAUGCUAAGUUGUUUAGACUUUAUCAGCUAACUGUUUAGUUUUGAGCUUUUCUUUAAUGCACUUUUCAGUUAACAAGUCAACAUCAAUUUCUUUUGCUGUAAAAAAGCUUGAGGAAGGUGGCUUGAGAUUCCGUCUUAAGUGUUUAUAGCCUCUUGCCUAUGCAGUCGGAGAGAUUGAGGUCUGUAGCGUAGAUCCUUCGGGGCUAAAUGCAUUUGUGCUAAGUUAUAGCAUUUUAUAGACAACUUGUUGACUAUGAUUUGUCUUGUAGCUUACUCGCUUAUGUUAUUUUACCUACGCUUAGGAUGUUGAGCGCAUGUCUCUCUCU
rnacentral:rRNA from 1 species